UCCUGAACAUUAUUUUUCCGGUGUUUAAAGAAAAGGAAUAGACUUUCUGUUUUUGAACAGGUGGCUAUUUGUUUGAUCUAAUUACCCUGCCAUAUCUGGACACUCCAACACCAGCCCAGUUCUACUGUGAGGGAUAAAAAAGGAGGAUGAAGAAACAAAGCUGUACGAAGAGACAGCAGAUGGGGUCGUCCUCCCAUUCUAAACCUAAGAAGAAGAAACAAGCCAAGAGACAAAACUGCCCCAAAUCAUCCGCAGGACAAAAAAACACUCAAAACAAAUCUCAACUUCCUGUUA